AUCAAGUUUAAGGCAUGGUGAUGCUUUAUAGUAAGCCAUCCAUUAUGAUUAAAUACAGGCUCAUGUUCUUCUGAACUCUGAAAUCUGAUUUGAAACUUUGUUGGACUUCUGUGGACACACAGUUAUCCUUUUAGUGAGUUUGUAUUUUAUCUGGGACCAGUACACUCAUUCCAAGCUGAUUAGUACACUGUGUGCUGUAAUUGUUUCUCUAAUACACUUAAAUCACAAUGAUAUUUAUAUGCUGUAGGAGUACUUAAAACCUAAAACCCCCUUUUUACCAGUAGUAAAAAUCCAUGUAUGACUGAGUGACUGAUAGAUAAUUUCUGGUGGUGAAAUAAUUGCUGUAGGUUGUAUGUUUUCAUUUUUUAAGUCCUUUUCUUAUAGGUGGGAUAGUUCUCCAGCCAACCUUCAGAGGACCUAUGCAAAGCCAGGAAAGACCCUUUGGAGUCCUGCAAGGUUCAAGUAGGCAGAAGGAUCCACCCUCCCCAUGGGCAACAGAUAUUUUUUUCAAGGUUUUGCUGUGGUGUCUCUGUUCUGGAGUGAAAUGAGUAUUUAACUAAAUUAAAUGAGCUUUUCACUGAAAUGAAAACAACAGGCCUCCUUUUUAAUUCAAGGUAAACACUAUUUGUGAAAGACUUGAUUUCCUUUGAAAUAUCUACUAACCAAAUGUUGAUUUCCCGAAUUUAAGACUAAUAUUUGUUAACAGCAAAAUUAUCAUCAAUCAGGACUAAAUUUCCAAGAACACAGACAGGCACAUAAUGCCUGAUGAAAUAUGGUGACGUAAAUGAAAAUCAUUUAACUUAAGAGGGACAGAACCGGGAGCAGGAUUAUUUCUGUGACUCUCAAUUCUUAACUAUUUCAUUACUCCAUACACUUUAAGGAAAGAAGGAGCUGCAAUUCCUAUUUCUCUUGUCUAUGCAAGCAGGUAGAGAAAUCCACAUGGGUACUGAGCCAGUUACAAUUGUUUUUGAUGUGUGUUCUCCAGCAAUGUAUUCAGAGA
rnacentral:lncRNA from 1 species